CAGUAGCCGCGGUAAUACGUAGGUGGCAAGCGUUGUCCGGAAUUAUUGGGCGUAAAGGGCUCGCAGGCGGUUUCUUAAGUCUGAUGUGAAAGCCCCCGGCUCAACCGGGGAGGGUCAUUGGAAACUGGGAAACUUGAGUGCAGAAGAGGAGAGUGGAAUUCCACGUGUAGCGGUGAAAUGCGUAGAGAUGUGGAGGAACACCAGUGGCGAAGGCGACUCUCUGGUCUGUAACUGACGCUGAGGAGCGAAAGCGUGGGGAGCGGACAGGAUUAGAUACCCCUGUAGUCCCUGUCUCUUAUCC
rnacentral:rRNA from 1 species